UACGUAGGGCGCAAGCGUUGUCCGGAAUUAUUGGGCGUAAAGAGCUCGUAGGCGGUCUGUCGCGUCGGAUGUGAAAACCCAGGGCUCAACCCUGGGCCUGCAUUCGAUACGGGCAGACUAGAGUACGGCAGGGGAGACUGGAAUUCCUGGUGUAGCGGUGAAAUGCGCAGAUAUCAGGAGGAACACCGGUGGCGAAGGCGGGUCUCUGGGCCGUAACUGACGCUGAGGAGCGAAAGCGUGGGGAGCGAACAGG
rnacentral:rRNA from 1 species